rnacentral:rRNA from 1 species
AGUCGAACGGUAACAGGAAGCAGCUUGCUGCUUUGCUGACGAGUGGCGGACGGGUGAGUAAUGUCUGGGAAACUGCCUGAUGGAGGGGGAUAACUACUGGAAACGGUGGCUAAUACCGCAUAACGUCGCAAGACCAAAGAGGGGGACCUUCGGGCCUCUUGCCAUCAGAUGUGCCCAGAUGGGAUUAGCUUGUUGGUGAGGUAACGGCUCACCAAGGCGACGAUCCCUAGCUGGUCUGAGAGGAUGACCAGCCCCACUGGAACUGAGACACGGUCCAGACUCCUACGGGAGGCAGCAGUGGGGAAUAUUGCACAAUGGGCGCAAGCCUGAUGCAGCCAUGCCGCGUGUAUGAAGAAGGCCUUCGGGUUGUAAAGUACUUUCAGCGGGGAGGAAGGUGUUGUGGUUAAUAACCGCAGCAAUUGACGUUACCCGCAGAAGAAGCACCGGCUAACUCCGUGCCAGCAGCCGCGGUAAUACGGAGGGUGCAAGCGUUAAUCGGAAUUACUGGGCGUAAAGCGCACGCAGGCGGUCUGUCAAGUCGGAUGUGAAAUCCCCGGGCUCAACCUGGGAACUGCAUUCGAAACUGGCAGGCUUGAGUCUUGUAGAGGGGGGUAGAAUUCCAGGUGUAGCGGUGAAAUGCGUAGAGAUCUGGAGGAAUACCGGUGGCGAAGGCGGCCCCCUGGACAAAGACUGACGCUCAGGUGCGAAAGCGUGGGGAGCAAACAGGAUUAGAUACCCUGGUAGUCCACGCCGUAAACGAUGUCUACUUGGAGGUUGUGCCCUUGAGGCGUGGCUUCCGGAGCUAACGCGUUAAGUAGACCGCCUGGGGAGUACGGCCGCAAGGUUAAAACUCAAAUGAAUUGACGGGGGCCCGCACAAGCGGUGGAGCAUGUGGUUUAAUUCGAUGCAACGCGAAGAACCUUACCUGGUCUUGACAUCCACAGAACUUUCCAGAGAUGGAUUGGUGCCUUCGGGAACUGUGAGACAGGUGCUGCAUGGCUGUCGUCAGCUCGUGUUGUGAAAUGUUGGGUUAAGUCCCGCAACGAGCGCAACCCUUAUCCUUUGUUGCCAGCGGUCCGGCCGG